rnacentral:rRNA from 1 species
GGAAUUGUUCGCAAUGGGCGCAAGCCUGACGACGCAACGCCGCGUGGAGGAUGAAGAUUUUCGGAUCGUAAACUCCUGUCGAGUGGGAAGAACAGCUCCUGGAUAAAUAUUCCGGGAGCCUGACGGUACCACUAAAGGAAGCCCCGGCUAACUCUGUGCCAGCAGCCGCGGUAAUACAGAGGGGGCAAGCGUUGUUCGGAAUUACUGGGCGUAAAGGGCGCGUAGGCGGCCUGUUAAGUCGAACGUGAAAUCCCCGGGCUCAACCCGGGAACUGCGUCCGAUACUGGCAGGCUUGAAUCCGGGAGAGGGAUGUGGAAUUCCAGGUGUAGCGGUGAAAUGCGUAGAUAUCUGGAGGAACACCGGUGGCGAAGGCGGCAUCCUGGACCGGUAUUGACGCUGAGGCGCGAAAGCCAGGGGAGCAAAC